rnacentral:lncRNA from 1 species
CUCCUGUAGCCCCCCACCCCCUGACAGGCCCCGGUGUGUGAUGUUCCCCUCUUUCUGCCCAUGUGUUCUCAUUGUUCAACUCCCACUUAUGAGUGAGAACAUGUGGUGUUUGGUUUUAUGUUCCUGUGUUAGUUUGCUGAGAAUGAUGGUUUCCAGAUUCAUCCAUGUCCCUGCAAAGGACAUGAACUCAUUCUUUUUUAUGGCUGCGUAGUAUUCCAUGGUGCAUAUGUGCCACAUUUUCUUUAUCCAGUCUAUCAUUGAUGGGCAUUUGGGUUGGUUCCAAGUCUUUGCUAUUGUGAAUAUUGCUGCAAUAAACAUACGUGUGCAUGUGUCUUUAUAGUAGAAUGAUUUAUAAUCCUUUGGGUAUACACCCAGCAAUGGGAUGGCUGGGUCAAAUGGUAUUUCUGGUUCUAGAUCCUUGAGGAAUAAUCAAAACCACAAUUAGAUACCAUCUCACGCCAGUUAAAUUAGUCCUCUUUAUAUUUUAAGAAAACAUUUGUUUUGCCCUGUGAGUGUUGUUGGAUUGCACAUAUUCAGAUUAUCAUGAGAUAUUCCCAUCUGCUGUAGUAAACGUGGAAAUUUUGAAGGUGUCUGACAAUAGUUUUGGUCCUGGAGUACUAAAAGUAUCCAGAUAGAGUUCAUGUUUUCCAUAGUGAUAAAUGCAACCAAAGCUAUUAGCAAGUUGUACUGCUAGAACAUGUUACGUGUUUUUUACACAUAUGUCAUAAUAUGUUUUUCAGAUUCCUGGAAGAAAUCCCAAUGAACAGGGGUCAUUAUCAGGCCACAUUUCUGGUAUCUGUGGUAAGUAAUGAUGUUCACUUUAACCCCAUCACAGACCAUUUGAUCUUCAUAUAUCUAGGUAAGUGAUGUCUGUUUACGUGAACUGUUUAUCAUGUGCUUUUAUAACAGUGAUUUUUGUAAGUAAUGACAGUAUUUCUAGUUCUAGUGACCAUGUUAUAUUGUUUUUAAUUUAGAGAAAACUUAUGGUUUACGCUGUGAGUAUCAAAUGAUUUGCGUGUACACAGAUAACAACGUGGUGUGCUUCAUAGUAGUAACUGUGGUAUCCUUGCAGAUAGGUAGUCAAGAAAAAAUGGUGUGUCCUUCAAGGUUGUAGACCUUGGGAAUACUGCAAAAUUCCAUGUAGAUUUAUGUCUUCUGCAAUGAUGACAGCCAACAAGUUAUUUGCAGGGUUCUGGUGGAAGAGUUGUGUCCACAGACACAUUUGUCAUAAUGUGGUUUCAGGUUCCUCUCAAGGGGUCAUGGGAAACCUCAUCAUGAUCAACAAUGGGACAUUGCUGGUAUCCAAGCCAAUUAUGAUGUGGGCCUUAAACACCCUACAAAAAUGUGAUCUACAGAAAUGUAGGUAACUGUAGAUGGUUUUCCUAAUUUUUGUGUUGCCAUAUUUUGUGCAGGUAUUUAGUUAAGGAAUUAUAUUUUCCCAACCAACGCAGGUAAGCAUCAGUCAUUAUUUUAGAGUUUAGUUAUAAUGUGUUUAGUCUUAUAGUGAGGGAGGGAUAUGCAGGUAUCCAGGUAAGUUUUCCUACUGUUUCCCACCACGUUAUUGACCAUGAGACUUCAACAUCAUCAAGAGAUGAUGGUGCCACUACAUUGUUGACAUUGAAGUCAUGGCAAAUCCAAGUAGUGUUGAAGGUUCCCUGCUGAUGGAAGUGCCCAGAAUUAUUUGUGUCUUGUCUUUUUUUAUGUAAAACAAAUUGUUUCCUUAAACACACUUGAGCAAUGUGUUUUUUAGUUUUCUGUAAUGAGCUCACAAUCAAGCUUAACAAUAGUCAUUAAUGGAACCGUGCUGUAACCUGCUAAUUGAGAAAGUGUGUUUCCCACAAUCAGACCAUUAGAUCUUUAUAUUUCCAUGUAAGUGAGGAUGGUGUCCUUAACACUUGUCUACCAUGUAUUCCUGCAGGUAUCCUGUUAAGUUCUUUCCUAGUAUACAGGUAGAAGAUUAUGUGAUAUUAACACAUUAGCAACCUUCCUAUUUUCAGAUAUGUAGGUGAUUAAUGAUUUUUUUGAGACUCUUCUUGUAACCUUGUGUUUGUCAUGCAUGCAGUUAAGAAAUUACUUUUUCCCUAACAUUACUAGUAAGAGUGAGAUUUUACUGUGUUCUUGUUUAGACAUAAUGUGUAUUUAUCAAUUGUAGUGAUAUAUGGAUAUGCGAGUAUCCAGGUAAUUUAUCAUAUUGUCCAUCACUGUAAUGCUGAGAUUUUUGUAGGUAUCACUUCAAGAGAGGAAAGUUUCUCUUACGAGUGUUUUCCCUUGGCAUUAUGCAAGCAUCCAGUUACCUUUGAUAGGCCCUGAAAUGAUGAAAGAGACGAAGGGAAUUUGCAGGUGUACAGGUAGAAUGAGACAUUUAGGAAACACAUUUUCAACAGUAUAUUUUUUAGGUUCAUUUGAAGAGGUCACAGUGAGCCUAUCAGUAAUAGUUAACAGGGGUCAUUGCUCGUAUGGAUGUGCAUGAUAAUGUGGGCCUAAAACACAGCCCAGCCCAUCUGAUCUUCCCUUAUAUAGGUAAGUGGUGGUGUCCCUAACACUUCUGUUACUAUGAUUUUGUUGUAGCUGUUCAAGUAAGAAAUGAUAGAGCUCUUACCAAUUUAAAAAAACAUUAUUUUUCUCACUUUUUAUAUUUUAGAAUAACUUUAUGAUUAACCUCUGAGUUUUGAGUGAUAGUGCCUAUCCUGGUUAUUGGUGUUUCUUACCACAGCAGUAACCAGGGGAUUUUUACAGGUGUCCUGUCAAGAAAUGACCGUCUUACCUGACAGUGGUAUUGAUCUUGCAUUAUUACAAGUAUCCAGGUAGAGUUUAUGUGUUCUGUAAUGAUGGAGUGACGAAGGUUAUUUUCAGAUGUCUUGGUGGAAAUGUUUGUGUCCUUUAACACAUAUUUCACAAUGUGUAUUUCAGGUUUCUGUAGUGAGACCCUGAUAAACCUAACAAUGGUUGGUAUGGCAGACAUUUCUGGUAUGCAGGCAAGUGAUGAUGUGUUCUUUAACCACAUCAUAGACCAUCAGAUCUUCUUAUAUCUUUUUUUUUUUUUUUUUUGACAGAGUCUCGCUUUGUCACCCAGGCUGGAGUGCAGUGGGGUGAUCUCGGCUCACUGCAGCCUCCACCUCCCAGGUUCAAGCGAUUCUCGUGCCUCUGCAUCCUGAAUAGCUGGGAUUACAGGUGUGCACCACCACAUCCUGCUGAUUUUUGUAUUUUGAGAGAUGGGGUUUUGGCACGUUGGCCAAGCUGGUCUCGAACUCCUGGCUUCAAGCAGUCCACCCACCUUGGCCUCCCAAAGUGCUGGAAUUACAGGCGUGCACCACCACGCCCGGCCAGAUCUUCAUAUAUCUAAGUAAGUGUUAUACAUUUACCUAAACUUUUUUACUGUGUGAUUUUUUUCCAUAGGUACUCAAGUAAGAAAUGAUAGUCUUUACUAACUACAGCAACCAUGUUAUCCUGCUGUUUUAUAUUUUAGAGAAAAUUUAUGUUUAACUUUGUGAUUGGCGAGCUAUUUGCUAUCCAAGGAAUUAACCAUGGAGUUGCAUGUCAUAGUAGCAAUUGUGGGUUUGUUUGCAGGUAAGUAGUAGAGAGAAAAUGGUAUCUGUAACAGUGCUAUAGACCUUGCAGUACUGCAAGAUUCCAGGUAUACUUGAUGGUUCUUGGAAUGAUGGUAGUGAAUAAGCUUAAUUGUGGGGUUCAAGGAAAAAAGCUGUGUCUACACACAUUUGUCAUAAUGUGUUUUUAGGAUCCUGUCAAGAAGACAUGGUAAACCUCAUCAUGAUCAAGAAUGAGACUUUGCUUGCAUCCAGGUAAGUAAUGACGUGGGCCUUAAGCAAGCACUCAGAAAACAAUCUGAUCAUCAGAUCUAUAAUUAAGUGUGGAUGGUGCUUCUAACUUUUGUGUUACCAUGGUUUUUUUGCAGGCAUUCAGUUAAGAAAUGAUGUUUUCCCAACCAAGGCUAGUAAGCAUUAGCCCUUAUUAUUUUACAGUUUAGAUAUAAUGUGUAGUAUCUAACCAAGCUGGGCAUAGUUGCAUGUGCCUAUAGUAUGAGCUACUCUGGAGGCUGAGGCGGGAGGAUCACUUGAGCCCAGGAGGUUGAGGCUGAAGUGAGCUGUGAUCACACCACUGCACUCCAACUUGGGUAACAGGACAAAACCCUGUCUCUUAAAAAAAUAAAAGAGAUAUAAUGUGUGUUUAACAUUAGUCUCUAAGGAGGGCUAUGCCGGUAUCCAGGUGAGUUAUCCUACUCUUCCACAUUAUAGUAUGAACAAUGAGAUUUCUAAGUCAAGCGAUGAUGGUAUCUCUAACAUUAGUGUUGAUCUCAAAGUUCUACUAAGAUCGAGGUAGUGUUGGUGGUUCCUCUAAUGAGGAAAAUGACUGAUACAAGUUGCAGGUGCCCCGUCCUUUUUUGCAGGUAAAACAGCGUGUUUCAUUAAACACAUUCAUCAUUGAAUGUGUUUCUUCAGGUACCCAUAGUCAUGAAAUCAUAGUGAACCUAACAGUGGUCAUUUAUGUGUUCUUGGUAGUAACCAGGUCAGUGAUAAAUUGGGUCUUACCACACUACAGACCACCUGUUCUUCAGAUUUUUAGGUAAGCAAGUAUGGUCCCUCUAACACAGUGUUACUGUGUUUGUCUUUUUCAGGCUUCCCAAAAGUUGUUUGAUAGUAUACAGGCAUGAGAUGGUGUGACUCUAACUCAUUAGAUGCCUUCGUCUUUUCAGUCAUCAUGUGAUGGAAAGAAAGCUAUCAACUUCAUUCCUGAGACUUCCUGCAACACAGAUCCAUCUAAACUUUUACUUCAUUGGAGGGUCCUUCCUGACCCAUGCAACUCAACAAAAAACUCUCACAGUUUUUAUAUGCUUUGUUGGGGAUUAACCCAUCUUGCAUUGCAUUGCUAGCUUAGUAUGUCUAGCAUGGGCAUGCCUGCUGAAGUUUGGAACUUCCCAUCAAGGAAACAGGAAAAUGCCAUUGGCAAUGAGCUGAAGACUGAUUUACUCUACCAGUUUGGAACAUCUGUUAUUGCUGCUACUACGGUUUCUAUCACUGUUUGAUGCUGGGACUCUUAAGCUCCAACCACGUUUUCACCGAGCUGAGUCGCCUUCUUAUCACCCCUUUCUGGAGCAGCAGGACAUCUGGGGAUGAGAAGAUGGAGAGAUCAUCCUUAUAUAAUGUUGCAGUCUGGAAGCAUCACUCUCAAAAAGCCAUUGUAGAGAAUCCAAGCCGAGUUUAAGAGUGCUGUGGAAAUACACUGCUGCUACUGCUGUUUCUAUUACUGUUUGAUGCUGGGACUCUUAUGCUCCAACCACGUUUUCACCCAGCUGAGUCGCCUUCGUAUCACGCCUUUCCAGUUUUGAUAGACUAGAAAAAUGACAAGACUCCAAGUCCUUGAAGAGGAGGAAAAGUGUGAAGAAAACAAAAAAGGGAGAUUUAUGUCUGCUUCACCAUUUUGCCCAAGACUUGACCUGUCAUACACUGAAGCUCAGAGAGGAAGAAAGGACCGUGUGAGAGAAGAAGGGAACAGCCUUUCAUCCAUAGGAGAAGUUCGUCUAUGACAAAGCCACUAGCUCCAUGUGGCCGCUGAGCACUCAAAAUGUGGCCAGUCUGAAUUGAGAUAUGUUGUUAGUAUAAAGUCCACAUCGGCUUUUUGAGCACUUUGUAUGAGAAAAAAGAAUACCAAAUAUCUCCUUAAUAAUUGUUACAUUGAUUAUAUGUUGAACUGAUAACAUUAUGGAUAUAUUGGAUUAAAUAAAAUAAAUUAUUAAAAUCAAAUAAAAAAUAAAAUCAAUUUCACCUGUUU